GACGAACGCUGGCGGCGUGCCUAAUACAUGCAAGUCGAGCGGACUGAUUAAGAGCUUGCUCUUAUGACGUUAGCGGCGGACGGGUGAGUAACACGUGGGCAACCUGCCCUGUAGAUCGGGAUAACACCGAGAAAUCGGUGCUAAUACCGGGUAAUAUCUGAGAUCACAUGAUCUUAGGUUAAAAGAUGGCUCCGGCUAUCACUACAGGAUGGGCCCGCGGCGCAUUAGCUAGUUGGUAAGGUAAUGUCUUACCAAGGCGACGAUGCGUAGCCGACCUGAGAGGGUGAUCGGCCACACUGGGACUGAGACACGGCCCAGACUCCUACGGGAGGCAGCAGUAGGGAAUCUUCCGCAAUGGACGAAAGUCUGACGGAGCAACGCCGCGUGAGUGAUGAAGGGGUUCGGCUCGUAAAGCUCUGUUGUUAGGGAAGAAACAGUACCGAACGAACUAGGUCGGUACCUUGACGGUACCUAACCAGAAAGCCACGGCUAACUACGUG
rnacentral:rRNA from 1 species